UUAAAAAUGGUUUUGAAUGAAUGAUGAAAUUAAAAGAAAGCAGAUCAACCAUGAGUAUAAUAAAAACAUAAACAUAAAAUAAAAUGCUAAAAGAAAAUAAAAUGCAAAUGCUGAAAGAAAUAAAACGCUCAAUACGGGUAUCGAACCCACUACACUAAAGACCAUAGAAACCACCCCUCUCCACCAGACCACUCAUGACUAGUUAUUAUUUUGAUG
rnacentral:lncRNA from 1 species